GUCAGAUAUUUAAAAUCCAUUAGAUUUCUAGAAUACCCUUGAAACACGCCUUUACUCUUCUCUUCCAUCAUCACUCAAUCUCACUCAUUGAAAUUUGAAACCCAGAAACUCUUCAUCGUUUCUCCAUCGUUCACCUUCAUUCAUCGCAAUUGAACCUUCUCGUCAGAACUCGUUCUUUAGGUUUAUGUAAAGUCGAGAUGAACAAUCAUAUCAUUGCAGCUUUUAUACAAAAAGGUGAGGUUUGGACUUUCACCCGUUGUCACUAAGUAUUGAGAAGGAGGCCCCAGACGCAAUAGUUGUGUAUUUGUUAAUCAGCAUGCAAUAAUGUAUGUUGAAGGAGAUAAGUACUAGGGAGGUAAAGCUAAUGAAAUAAGUGGUGUGCAUGAAGUGGUUUUGUGGAGACAUGUUAAUUGAGAAGUUGGAGACAUAUAAUACUGAUUUGGUUAUGCAUCUCUAAAGCUAUUUGGUUAUGCAUGCAUAAAUACUAGAUUUGUUGGUCCUUCAGAGGGAGUUAGGUGCUUCUAAUGGACUAUACACUGCUUGAUGAUUUUUUAUCUUCAACUUAGCUUCUAUUUUCAUAGCAAGGGAGUGGGAUUUUUUCCCUUUGAUCUCAGACUUGUUAGAAGGCAAGCUAUCAAAAGCAGCAGUACUAGAGGCAAUCUGUGCAAAUUUCCAAGAGACCACUGAGCCAUCAAUUGGUUAUCAAUGGUGUUUUUCAUUGAUGCUGCUACUUCUAUAGUUCUUUUUUUUUUUGACAAAGCUACUUCUAUAGUUCUAUUCUUCAAUUGAAAGAUCAAGGACGUGAUUGUUGGCUUAUCAAUUGUAUCUUUAUAUUCUUUAGUUAGUUUUAUGAUUUUUCCAUCUCACUGAUUAUCAAUGCUUAGCAAUGCAUUCAUAUGCUCUGUAAUUCAUAUAUUGAUUAGUUUAAAUGCAAAUUGUAUUUGGAUUUGAAGAGUUUUUGUUUUUAUGAUUUUUUAUUGACCGGAUCUUGUUUGCAAUAAAUACUCAGUAUGGGUUUACUAAGAGGGAGAAGAAAAGGAGUUUGUUGAAAUCAAUGAAAAUUCUCUAUGUAAAGGUAAAACUCCACUUGAUGCAUAUGUGCUGCUGAGUUCAAAACGCACUAGAGGAGCUUAGGCGAGCAGAGCAACAUUGGCAGGAGGAAGUUCAGAGUGCAGAGCAAUUGAGUUUCAGAGGCAGUUGCUAGUAUUGACCAACAGUAUAGCUUCUAUACAUGCUGAGUCCUCUAGUCGUCGAUCGAUGUCGCCAUCCAGAUUAUGAUGAGGAUGAGUCUGACAAUGAUGAAAGUGAGGACCAUUGAUUUCUAGUUCAUCUUGAUUUUGUAGUUAUAACUACAUCUUAUGUUUAGACUUGUAGCGGUUUAUUUAUAUGUUGUUAUGGCCUUCUGCAUUUUACGGGGAAAAAUUCUCUAUCUUCUAAUCUCAAAAAGAGUAAUUCCCACCCACAGUGAUCUUAACCUACAAAUAUA